rnacentral:rRNA from 1 species
CAGCCGCCGCGGGAAUACGGGGGGGGCAAGUGUUAUUCGGAAUGACUGGGCGUAAAGGGCACGUAGGCGGUGAAAAGGGUGGAAAGUGAAAGUCGCCAAAACACUGGCGGGGUGCUUUCUUGACCAUUUCACUUGAGUGAGAUAGGGGAGAGUGGAAUUUCGUGUGGAGGGAUCAAAUCCUAAGAUAUACGAAGGAACGCCAACCGCGAAGGCAGCUCUCUGGGUCCCCACUGACGCUGGGGUGCGAAAGCAUGGGGAGCAAACAGGAUCAGAUACCCCCGUAGUCCCUGUCUCUUAUACC